rnacentral:rRNA from 1 species
GACGAACGCUGGCGGCGUGCUUAACACAUGCAAGUCGAACGGAAAAGCCUUUCGGAGGUACUCGAGUGGCGAACGGGUGAGUAACACGUGGGUGAUCUGCCCUGCACUCUGGGAUAAGCCUGGGAAACUGGGUCUAAUACCGGAUAGGACCGCACUUUAGUGUGUGUGGUGGAAAGUUUUUUCGGUGUAGGAUGAGCCCGCGGCCUAUCAGCUUGUUGGUGGGGUAAUGGCCUACCAAGGCGGCGACGGGUAGCCGGACUGAGAGGUUGGUCGGCCACAUUGGGACUGAGAUACGGCCCAGACUCCUACGGGAGGCAGCAGUGGGGAAUAUUGCACAAUGGGCGCAAGCCUGAUGCAGCGACGCCGCGUGGGGGAUGACGGCCUUCGGGUUGUAAACUCCUUUCGCCAGGGACGAAGCGUUUUGUGACGGUACCUGGAGAAGAAGCACCGGCUAACUACGUG